CGCCUGGUGUUUUCAUACUAGGUAAUUCCUGCUCGGUGACCUUAAACAGCAGCGGUAUUCUGACCGUUCGAAGGUAGCAUAAUAAGCUUAAUAAUUGUAAGCCUGUCAACGGAGCGAUGGGUCCAGGUAGGUCAUAAACCUUUUUUUUCAGAAUUACCUCAAAAGUAAAAACACUUUUGACUUUUUAAAAGACGACAAGACCCUAGAAUUUUCUUUAACGUUUAGAUGGGGAAUCUUUGGUAAAAAAAACCACAAGUAAAAUACUCUAGGGAUAACAGCCUCAUUCGGAAGUGACUUCCGAGCUUGGGACCUCGAUGUUGAAUUAGGCACCUUUAUCCCCAGAAGGGAUUUUUUUUGGUCUGUUCGACCUUUUAUAGGCCU
rnacentral:rRNA from 1 species